rfam:Schistosoma mansoni strain Puerto Rico chromosome 1, complete genome
GUCCAGCUGAUCAGUCCGAAAUAGGACGAAACAAGCGUCCUGAAU